CCAGAUGAUCUAUCCAUGGCCAGGAUGAAGGUGCCGUACAGGUACUGGAGGUCCGAACCCACUAAUGUUGAAAAUUAGGGGAUGAGCUGUGGAUAGGGGUGAAAGGCUAACAAAUCUGGAAAUAGCUGGUUCUCCCCGAAAGCUAUUUUAGGUAGCGCCUCAUGUAUCACUCGCGGGGGUAGAGCACUGUAAUGGUUGGAGGGGGUCAUUGCGAUCUACUCCGCCAUAGCAAAACUCCCGAAUACCGUGAAGUGCGAGCAUGGGAGACAGACGGUGGGGUGCUAACGUUCAUCGUCAAGAGGGAAAACAACCCAGACCGCCAGCUAAGGUCCCCAAGCCAUGGUUAAGUGGAAAACGAGGUGGGAAGGCAUAGACAGUCAGGAAGUUGGCUUAGAAGCAGCCAUCCUUCAAAGAAAGCGUAAUAGCUCACUGAUCGAGUCGUCCUGCGCGGAAGAUGUACCGGGGCC
rnacentral:rRNA from 1 species